rnacentral:lncRNA from 1 species
AGGGACAAUGAUGCCAUUUGCUUCUAGCACUCCUGCCCUCAUCCCCUGAGGCCCCUCCCCUCCUCCCAGUGGAGAGUUCUGGACAGGAAUAGGCCUGAGCUUUUAGGACGGCAGGUGUUCUUAAAGAUGAAUAAUGCUCCGCCCCCCAUGCUGGGUCUUCUGGGGAUGAGCCACAGCCUGGAGGAGCUGAGGAGGCCACAUCACAUGAGGAAGCUUUACUGUUUCCCCUUCUCCUGAAAUGUGUCUGGGAUGGAGAGUGUGGAGAGUGGGCCCACCUUUAUCUGGGUCCACUCAGGCUGCUGCAGAGACUACCCCAGACUGGGUGGCUGAUAGACAAGACAUUCAUUUUCCACACUUCCUGAGACUGAGAAGUCUGAGAUGAAGGAUCUUGGAGGACCUGGGGAUCAACAGCCAGACUUGGAUGCUCAGGAUGAUUUGGGAUGUGCUUCUAACUACCUGUACUGUCUGGAGAAACCUAGAAGCAAGGAAGCUGCCACCAUGAUGCAGCGGGGAGUCCGAGGCCCUGGGAGGUCAUAUGACUCAUUCAAGGUCAUCCUGCUGUGGCAGAGAUGCGAUGAAGCCCUGGCUUUGGCCUUCUUGGCAGCCAACCUCGAAGCACCACAUCGGGCUUUGAAAUGUGCGGGGCCUUUGAGAUUCAGCGCAUCUGAAUCUGAAUUUAUGCCGUCUCACUUGCUGGAAUCUACUGAUCUGUCCACUGUUCCUGGAAGAAAUACUUUGUUUUCAUGUGCCAGUUGCCUUUCCAGCCUGACUGUCAGCCCAAGGUCGCAGAGAAGAUCUGAUUGCAUGUCCUUGAUUUUGCUGCUCCCAUUCCGAGAACCAGCUUCCUCCUCUGGAAGGUCGACUGAGGGGGGCUUGACUGGACUUGGCUCAAGGCUGCAAGUGGUCCAGGUCUGCUCUGUGUGUCUUUCAUCCUCCCCAACCAGUUAGAAAACGUGAUAUCCUCUUCUACGAUGAUGAUGGAAAUACAAAAUUGGUGUUCAGGCACUUCAGGACCUCUCACCUCUGUGAAGGGACUUGGGAGACACCCAGAAAAUGGUGAGUUUAGUGAAAUAAACCCUAGCCUGGGAAGCAGGAGCAAACUGGAAAGGACUUAUUUAUAUGAGCAUUCCACAACCUCUGUCAGGUUGCUACUUCUCUGUGUGUCUCACUUGCUUCAUAUGUAAAAUGAAGGAGUUAAUUAGGGCAAAAAGCAACCUUGUUUCAUCUUACUUGACAACUCUCAUUAAUGGGUAGAGGUUUUCUAGAGUCUUGAAUCUGCAUUCCCGCUUAGUGAGAGAGAAUGCUGUGAUCGAUUACUCAUGUCUGUCCUGUGCAUAGAUGGGGGCAGGGGCAUCACCUCUGCCUGUGCUUUGCCAUCUCAGAGUUACGGCAUUAUCUAAGUAUUCUGAAGACCUGGGAUGCUUUAGAAUGGAUACAUGGGAGCUGGCUUCCAUAUAUAUCUCUGUUUCAUAAACUCUGGUGAUCUUUUGCCUCACUCCCACCCCACCCCCCUUUUAAAAAAUUUCUUUUUAUCCAUGAUGAUUCCAAACUCUUGGCUCUUGGUCUCUGUAAUAGCAAAGUAAUGGUUUUCUAUAGUAAUUUUCUUAUUCUCCCUUUCUUUCACCCUGUUGCCAAAGAUGAAUCUGUUUUUACUAAAAGAGAAAAAAGGGAAAAAAUACAUAUGUAAAAAUCACACAUCCUCACCAUGUGCAAAAAUCAUGUGUUUGGCAGCAAGAACAUCUUUCUGAGGCCAAAUGGCAUUUUUCUUUUCUUGCAAAACG